GACGAACGCUGGCGGCGUGGAUUAGGCAUGCAAGUCGAACGGUAUCAUCCUUUCGGGGGUGAGAGAGUGGCGAACUGGUGAGUAACACGUAGGUUAUCUACCUCAAGACGGGACAACCCAGGGAAACUUGGGCUAAUACCGGAUGUGAGCAACUUUUAGUUGUUUGAAAGGUGGCGUAAGCUGUCGCUUGGGGAUGAGCCUGCGUCCUAUUAGUUAGUUGGUGAGGUAACGGCUCACCUAGGCAAUGAUAGGUAGGCGGCCUUAACGGGUGGUCGCCCACACUGGGAUUGAGAUACGGCCCAGACUCCUACGGGAGGCAGCAGUCGAGAAUAGUCUACAAUGGUCGGAAGACUGAUAGUGCGACGCCGCGUGAACGAUGAAUCCCUUCGGGGUGUAAAGUUCUUUUAUAUGUGAGCAGUGCUUCUUAUAUUAACAGUAUGGGGAGAGAGAUAUUAGCAUAUGAAUAAGCAACGGCUAACUCCGUG
rnacentral:rRNA from 1 species